rnacentral:rRNA from 1 species
UACGUAGGGUGCGAGCGUUGUCCGGAAUUAUUGGGCGUAAAGGGCUCGUAGGCGGUCUGUCACGUCGGGAGUGAAAACUCAGGGCUUAACCCUGAGCCUGCUUCCGAUACGGGCAGACUAGAGGUAUGCAGGGGAGAACGGAAUUCCUGGCGUAGCGGUGAAAUGCGCAGAUAUCAGGAGGAACACCGGUGGCGAAGGCGGUUCUCUGGGCAUUACCUGACGCUGAGGAGCGAAAGUGUGGGGAGCGAACAGG